rnacentral:rRNA from 1 species
UUGACCUCGGAUCAGGCAGGGAUACCCGCUGAACUUAAGCAUAUCAAUAAGCGGAGGAAAAGAAACCAACAGGGAUUGCCUCAGUAACGGCGAGUGAAGCGGCAACAGCUCAAAUUUGAAAUCUGGCUCUUUCAGGGUCCGAGUUGUAAUUUGUAGAAGAUGCUUUGGGUGUGGCUCCGGUCUAAGUUCCUUGGAACAGGACGUCAUAGAGGGUGAGAAUCCCGUACGUGACUGGUUGCCUCCGCCGUGUAAAGCUCUUCGACGAGUCGAGUUGUUGGGAAUGCAGCUCUAAAUGGGUGGUAAAUUCUCUAAGCUAAAU